GACGUAGGGCGCGAGCGUUGUCCGGAUUUAUUGGGCGUAAAGAGCUCGUAGGCGGCUUGUUGCGUCGACUGUGAAAACCCGCGGCUUAACUGCGGGCUUGCAGUUGAUACGGGCAGGCUAGAGUUCGGUAGGGGAGACUGGAAUUCCCGGUGUAGCGGUGAAAUGCGCAGAUAUCGGGAAGAACACCCGUGGCGAAGGCGGCUCUCUGGGACGGUACUGACGCUGAGACGCGAAAGCGUGGGGAGCGAACAGG
rnacentral:rRNA from 1 species